GACGAACGCUGGCGGCGUGCCUAAUACAUGCAAGUGGGACGCAAGGGAACACACUGUGCUUGCACACCGUGUUUUCUUGAGUCGCGAACGGGUGAGUAACGCGUAGGUAACCUGCCUAUUAGCGGGGGAUAACUAUUGGAAACGAUAGCUAAUACCGCAUAAUAUUAAUUAUUGCAUGAUAAUUGAUUGAAAGAUGCAAGCGCAUCACUAGUAGAUGGACCUGCGUUGUAUUAGCUAGUUGGUAAGGUAAGAGCUUACCAAGGCGACGAUACAUAGCCGACCUGAGAGGGUGAUCGGCCACACUGGGACUGAGACACGGCCCAGACUCCUACGGGAGGCAGCAGUAGGGAAUCUUCGGCAAUGGACGAAAGUCUGACCGAGCAACGCCGCGUGAGUGAAGAAGGUUUUCGGAUCGUAAAGCUCUGUUGUAAGUCAAGAACGUGUGUGAGAGUGGAAAGUUCACACAGGGACGGAGCUACCAGAAAGGAC
rnacentral:rRNA from 1 species